GGCCUACCAUGGUGGUAACGGGUAACGGGGUGUUAGGGCACGACACCGGAGAGGGAGCCUGAGAAACGGCUACCACAUCCAAGGAUGGCAGCAGGCGCGCAAAUUACCCAAUCCCGACACGGGGAGGUAGUGACAAUAAAUAACAAUACGGGGCUCUUUAGGGUCUCGUAAUUGGAAUGAGUACAAUUUAAAUCUCUUAACGAGGAACAAUUGGAGAGCAAGUCUGGUGCCAGCAGCCGCGGUAAUUCCAGCUCCAAUAGCGUAUAUUAAAGUUGUUGCAGUUAAAAAGCUCGUAGUUGAAUUUCGGGGUCAGCAGGUUGGUCGUGCCACUGGUAUGCACUGGUUUCGCUGAUUCCUCCUUUCUGAAGAACUGUAAUGCCAUUAAUUUGGUGUUGCAGGGAAACAGGACUGUUACUUUGAAAAAAUUAGAGUGUUUAAAGCAGGCUAACGCUUGAAUACAUUAGCAUGGAAUAAUGAAAUAGGACGUUUGAUCCUAUUUUGUUGGUUUCUAGGAUUGACGUAAUGAUUAAUAGGGAUAGUUGGGGGCAUUAGUAUUCAAUUGUCAGAGGUGAAAUUCUUGGAUUUAUUGAAGACUAACUACUGCGAAAGCAUUUGCCAAGGAUGUUUUCAUUAAUCAAGAACGAAAGUUAGGGGAUCGAAGACGAUCAGAUACCGUCGUAGUCUUAACCAUAAACUAUGCCGACUAGGGAUCGGAUGAUGUUAAUUUUUUAAUGACUCAUUCGGCGCCUUACG
rnacentral:rRNA from 1 species